rnacentral:rRNA from 1 species
UACGUAGGGUGCAAGCGUUAUCCGGAAUUAUUGGGCGUAAAGAGCUCGUAGGCGGUUUGUCGCGUCUGCUGUGAAAACUGGAGGCUCAACCUCCAGCCUGCAGUGGGGUACGGGCAGACUAGAGUGCGGUAGGGGAGAUUGGAAUUCCUGGUGUAGCGGUGGAAUGCGCAGAUAUCAGGAGGAACACCGAUGGCGAAGGCAGUUCUCUGGGCCGUAACUGACGCUGAGGAGCGAAAGCUGGGGAGCGAACAGG